GGGCCUUCUCCACCUAGAAGAAAUUCCUCUUGAACUCAGAGGAGGAAAAAAAAAAAAAAAAGCUAUUAAGACAGUUUAGGAAUUAAUAGGAAAAUUUUAAUAUCACAAUUAUCACUGGAUUACUGUUAUUUUUCUUAGGUUUGAUAAUGGUAUCAGGAUUGUGCAGAAAAACAUUCUUAUCUUAGAAGAUAAUUCAUGUUAAAGAAUCUGGGAUGGGAAGGGCCACGGUGUCUACAGCUUACUUUCACGUGGUCCCAUGAAAAAAGAAAUGUGUAUAACUACAGAUGUAUAGAUUAGACAGAUAUAUGGGUGUAAUAUAGAUACAUGUCUACAUGUAGAUACGCAGUUUAUAGGGAUAAGAGUUAACAUGACUAAAUGUUAAUUGGCAAAUCUAGGCAAAGGUUAUCUAUUAUACUGUUCUCACUUUUCUGUUUAUUUCGAAAACAAGUUGAGGGGUAACUUUUUAAAAUCCUACUGAAGUUUCCAAAAAUUAGCUCAAAUGCCACCUCCUCAAAGGGCUCUUCAGGAUACAUGUUGGGAGAAAUGACUCCCUCUUCUGCAUUGCGAAGGCACUUUACUUACGUUCAUGAUUCAACUGACUGAGCAAAAAAAACCACGGGGCCCCUAGUUCAAGCCCACCAAUCUUGGUACCCUCUCACAGACACAUCUCUCGGUUCAUCCUCACACGUCCAUCCCAGCAAGGCCUAGAAUAGGAUUAGUGCUUAAAGAAAAGACACUGGGACAGUCAGGUGCGGUGUCUCAUGCUUGUGAUCCCAGCACUUUGGGAGUCCAAGGCAGGUGGACCAUGAGCUCAGGAGUUCAAGACCAGCCUGGCCAACAUGGUGAAACCCCACCUCUACUAAAAAUACAAAAAUUAGCCAGGCAGUGGCAGGCGCCUGUAAUCCCAGCUACUCAGGAGGCUGAGGCAGAGAAUUGCUUGAACCUGGGAGGCAGAGGUUGCAGUGAGCUGAGACCAUGCCACUGCACUCCAGCCUGGGCGACAGAGCAGGAGUCCAUCUCAAAAAAAAAAAGAAAAGAAAAGACACUGGGUGGGAAAUAUCCACACCUCAAGAGUGAGCAGGAAGGCCUGGGGUGAGCUUAUCAAACUCCUGCCAGGGAGCUGUGAGGGGAACUGUCAUUAGGAGGACUAGCCCCAAAACAGAGGUCAUUCCCAACGUACCCACUACGGACACCCUUUCAUCUUGGGGUAAGGUCCAAAUUUCCCAGAAUUCAAUGACUAAACUGCUCCACACCUUUUCCUAAUUUCCUAAACUUCCAUAGACUGAGCAAUCACUCAGCCUGCCCUUUCAGACCAAGGGGCUGAGCACGCAUGCGUGUGGGCAUGUGGGUGUUGACACAGGUCCACUCACUAGGAUGCAUUCUCCACACAUUUCCCACCCCGAAUACAAACACGAAAGCAGGGCUGUGUCUCUAUAACUCCUCAUUCUUAACCCUACACACAAUUCUGCACGUUUAGCAUCCAGCCAGAAUCCUACAAUUCUGACACCAUCGUGCUGAGUGAUGGGACAGUCCAUUACACCAAUGUCAGUUGUUCCUCUCUGGAUCGUCAAAAAGAGGACAGCUAUGGAGACAUCUGGGGAAUACUAUGGACACCCUGAAAAGCCCAGCAGACACUUGAGCUUCUGGCUGGGGACCCAG
rnacentral:lncRNA from 10 species